rnacentral:rRNA from 1 species
CCGUAAACGAUGUCUACUUGGAGGUUGUGCCCUUGAGGCGUGGCUUCCGGAGCUAACGCGUUAAGUAGACCGCCUGGGGAGUACGGCCGCAAGGUUAAAACUCAAAUGAAUUGACGGGGGCCCGCACAAGCGGUGGAGCAUGUGGUUUAAUUCGAUGCAACGCGAAGAACCUUACCUGGUCUUGACAUCCACAGAACUUUCCAGAGAUGGAUUGGUGCCUUCGGGAACUGUGAGACAGGUGCUGCAUGGCUGUCGUCAGCUCGUGUUGUGAAAUGUUGGGUUAAGUCCCGCAACGAGCGCAACCCUUAUCCUUUGUUGCCAGCGAUUAGGUCGGGAACUCAAAGGAGACUGCCAGUGAUAAACUGGAGGAAGGUGGGGAUGACGUCAAGUCAUCAUGGCCCUUACGACCAGGGCUACACACGUGCUACAAUGGCGCAUACAAAGAGAAGCGACCUCGCGAGAGCAAGCGGACCUCAUAAAGUGCGUCGUAGUCCGGAUUGGAGUCUGCAACUCGACUCCAUGAAGUCGGAAUCGCUAGUAAUCGUGGAUCAGAAUGCCACGGUGAAUACGUUCCCGGGCCUUGUACACACCGCCCGUCACACCAUGGGAGUGGGUUGCAAAAGAAGUAGGUAGCUUAACCUUCGGGAGGGCGCUUACCACUUUGUGAUUCAUGACUGGGGUGAAGUCGUAACAAGGUAACCGUAGGGGAACCUGC